rnacentral:rRNA from 1 species
CCUACGGGUGGCUGCAGUGGGGAAUAUUGCGCAAUGGGCGAAAGCCUGACGCAGCGACGCCGCGUGUGGGAUGAAGGUCUUCGGAUCGUAAACCUCUGUCAGCAGGGAAGAACGGUCACUGUGCUAAUCAGCAGUGAAUUGACGGUACCUGCAAAGGAAGCACCGGCUAACUCCGUGCCAGCAGCCGCGGUAAUACGGAGGGUGCGAGCGUUAAUCGGAAUUACUGGGCGUAAAGCGCUCGUAGGCGGUGUGUUGAGUCAAAGGUGAAAUCCCCGGGCUCAACGUGGGAACUGCAUUUGAAACUGGCAAACUGGAGUGUUGUAGAGGAGAGUGGAAUUCCAGGUGUAGGAGUGAAAUGCGUAGAGAUCUGGAGGAACAUCAGUGGCGAAGGCGACCAUCUGGCACAUAACUGACGCUGAGGUGCGAAAGCGUGGGUAGCAAACAGGAUUAGAUACCCCAGUAGUC